rnacentral:lncRNA from 1 species
UCUCCCUUUGCUCCCAGACUCUCAGUAAGCCCUUAGUAUUUGUACCAGGCUUUGGCACACAGUAGACAUUCAAUAAAUAUUUCAUGGAUGAAGGAAUGAGCCUGUCUCCACACUGGCUUCCAAGGGUCAGUACCCAUUGGGUAUUCCGUGAGGCUGAGAUGUUCCUCUCUCUAUGACACCCCAGCACUCCUUGGCCUCAGGUUUCAACCACAAUAUCAUAUGAGGAAGAUGGCAUUGAGCUUUGGAGUUAGAAACAGUGACAAGGAUUCUUUAAGAUCAGUCACAUCAGAAUCACCUGCAACAUCUGUUACAAACUCUGGUAGCUGGGUCCUGAGAAUUUGCCACUCCUUAAAUCUUGGCAGGACCAAAUUGACAUUCUCACCAGUUCCUAGGUUAGGCUGCUGCUGGUGGUGGUGGUGGUGGUGGUAUGAGCCCUACAUUCUGGGGACCCACAUGUUUAGACACACCUGAAACAGAGGCUCUCAGAGCCCUUCCCUGUCUUUGGCCCUACCUUUUCAGAGCUCUCUGAUAAGUGUCCACUGCUAGUAUCUGCCUUUGAGAUGCCAGGCCUUUCUGAGCUCACUGUAGAGGCUGAUCAGAAAUACUAGGAGUUUACACUCCCCAUACAAGCCUCCAGGAAGCAUGGGAGGGAGUUGCUGUAGAUUGACUCCAGCUUCCUCUUGCUUUAGGUGGAGACCCUCUGAGGCCUGUAUUCUGAACUUACCUCAGGGCUCCCCCACCCCACCCCAUGUAGGGAUGGCCUGAGGAGGAUGACUCUCACCCAGUUGGGAAUCCUCAGGCCCUCCUCCCUUCUCUUUACUGCAGCAAUAAAAUGACCUACCUUCAAGGGUUAAGGGUUGUGAGUUCCCUUUGUCAACUCUAGGAAGUAGAGUCCAGAAGGACUCCUGGAAUUUCUUCAGCUGUUACUUGGUUUCAGGGAGGGAAGAAGUAGACUGAAUCCCUUAAGCUUGGAACCAGGAAACUGAGGGUGUGGGAGGUUGGAGGUUGUGCUAUGGGAAACCACAGGGACUAUUAGUAUGCCUGUUUUGAACAGCUAUACAAAAUCUGACCUAGAAGUUAGGGGGGAAUCCUUUUGAGAAGCUCCCUCCAUCUUUACGAACCCCCUAAGUGUCUUGCCAGGAUACCCAAACUUUCCCAGAAGACCUCACCAUGAGUCUCCUGAAUCAUAAAUAUAUCCCAGGGACACCGGGAACUCUCAGGGAAUUGGAGGAAGUUAUUAUGUUUGGGCACUGCUCCAAACAAAACUGGGAAUGGGCAUUGGGAAGGCAAUCAACUAUAGCUGCCCCACUGAGUGCUUAUAAAACCAAGAGGUAUUAAAUAAAACCUCAUCUGAAACCAGCCCUAUAUUUGGGCUUCUUCAGUUAUUUAAGCCAAUAAAUUAUUUUUAUAGUUUAAGACAGUCCAAAUCAAGUUUUGGGUUCAAUGCAACUGAUGUCUUCUCAUUGAUUCUAU